rnacentral:rRNA from 1 species
GACAUGGCUCAGAUUGAACGCUGGCGGCAGGCUUAACACAUGCAAGUCGAACGGUAACAGGAGAGAGCUUGCUUUCUUGCUGACGAGUGGCGGACGGGUGAGUAAUGCUUGGGAAUCUGGCUUAUGGAGGGGGAUAACGACGGGAAACUGUCGCUAAUACCGCGUAGAGUCGAGAGACGAAAGUGCGGGACCGCAAGGCCGCAUGCCAUAGGAUGAGCCCAAGUGGGAUUAGGUAG